AUUGAACGCUGGCGGCAGGCCUAACACAUGCAAGUCGAGCGGAGCGGCGGACGGGUGAGUAAUGCCUAGGAAUCUGCCUGGUAGUGGGGGAUAACGUCCGGAAACGGGCGCUAAUACCGCAUACUCUCAGAUGAGCCUAGGUCGGAUUAGCUAGUUGGUGGGGUAAAGGCCUACCAAGGCGACGAUCCGUAACUGGUCUGAGAGGAUGAUCAGUCACAUUGGAACUGAGAAACGGCCCAGAAUCCUACGGGAGGAAGCAGUGGUGGAUAUUGCACAAUGGGCGAAAGCCUGAUGCGGCGACGCCGCGUGGGGGGUGAAGGCUUGCGGGUUGUAAACCUCUGUCGCUAUCGAACGGGUAGGUGGAGAAGAAGCGCCGGCUAACUACGUGCCAGCCGCCGCGGUAAUAC
rnacentral:rRNA from 1 species